CAUGGCUCAGGACGAACGCUGGCGGCGUGCUUAACACAUGCAAGUCGAACGGAAAGGCCCUGCUUUUGUGGGGUGCUCGAGUGGCGAACGGGUGAGUAACACGUGAGUAACCUGCCCUUGACUUUGGGAUAACUUCAGGAAACUGGGGCUAAUACCGGAUAGGAGCUCCUGCUGCAUGGUGGGGGUUGGAAAGUUUCGGCGGUUGGGGAUGGACUCGCGGCUUAUCAGCUUGUUGGUGGGGUAGUGGCUUACCAAGGCUUUGACGGGUAGCCGGCCUGAGAGGGUGACCGGCCACAUUGGGACUGAGAUACGGCCCAGACUCCUACGGGAGGCAGCAGUGGGGAAUAUUGCACAAUGGGCGGAAGCCUGAUGCAGCAACGCCGCGUGCGGGAUGACGGCCUUCGGGUUGUAAACCGCUUUCGCCUGUGACGAAGCGUGAGUGACGGUAAUGGGUAAAGAAGCACCGGCUAACUACGUGCCAGCAGCCGCGGUGAUACGUAGGGUGCGAGCGUUGUCCGGAUUUAUUGGGCGUAAAGGGCUCGUAGGUGGUUGAUCGCGUCGGAAGUGUAAUCUUGGGGCUUAACCCUGAGCGUGCUUUCGAUACGGGUUGACUUGAGGAAGGUAGGGGAGAAUGGAAUUCCUGGUGGAGCGGUGGAAUGCGCAGAUAUCAGGAGGAACACCAGUGGCGAAGGCGGUUCUCUGGGCCUUUCCUGACGCUGAGGAGCGAAAGCGUGGGGAGCGAACAGGCUUAGAUACCCUGGUAGUCCACGCUGUAAACGGUGGGUACUAGGUGUGGGGUCCAUUCCACGGGUUCCGUGCCGUAGCUAACGCUUUAAGUACCCCGCCUGGGGAGUACGGCCGCAAGGCUAAAACUCAAAGGAAUUGACGGGGCCCCGCACAAGCGGCGGAGCAUGCGGAUUAAUUCGAUGCAACGCGUAGAACCUUACCUGGGUUUGACAUGGAUCGGGAGCGCUCAGAGAUGGGUGUGCCUCUUUUGGGGUCGGUUCACAGGUGGUGCAUGGCUGUCGUCAGCUCGUGUCGUGAGAUGUUGGGUUAAGUCCCGCAACGAGCGCAACCCUUGUUCACUGUUGCCAGCACGUUAUGGUGGGGACUCAGUGGAGACCGCCGGGGUCAACUCGGAGGAAGGUGGGGAUGACGUCAAGUCAUCAUGCCCCUUAUGUCCAGGGCUUCACGCAUGCUACAAUGGCUGGUACAGAGAGUGGCGAGCCUGUGAGGGUGAGCGAAUCUCGGAAAGCCGGUCUCAGUUCGGAUUGGGGUCUGCAACUCGACCUCAUGAAGUCGGAGUCGCUAGUAAUCGCAGAUCAGCAACGCUGCGGUGAAUACGUUCCCGGGGCUUGUACACACCGCCCGUCAAGUCAUGAAAGUUGGUAACACCCGAAGCCGGUGGCCUAACCGUUGUGGGGGAGCCGUCGAAGGUGGGACUGGUGAUUAGGACUAAGUCGUAACAAGGUAGCCGUACCGGAAGGUGCGGUUG
rnacentral:rRNA from 1 species